rnacentral:lncRNA from 1 species
UCUCAUUUAAAGUUUUGCCCAGUUUCAUUUGCAUAGAUUCCCCUCUUCCAUGAGCUGCUAUGUCAGUCUCAGUAUCUUUCAAUGUAGAGUUUGCAGCUAUGAGUUGAGAAAGCACAUUUCCUUCAGCAUAGGAUAGGGACUUCCAGGUACUGGACCCGUCACUGGCACCUCAGUGGGGAGAACCCAGAUGCCCCUACAUGAUGUUUAAAGAUGCUUUAUAUAAUAAAAGUGCACAAAUCAUCAGCCCACAGCUUGGUGACUGUUCACAUAUUGAACUCAUCUAUUUAUCUAGUAUCCAGGUCAAGAAACAGCCAUUACAGUCCCCCAAGAUCCCACACCCCUUUUCCAGUCACUUUCUCUGCAGUGAUAACCACUUUUCUGUAUUUUGAUAGCAUAGAUUCAUUUUGCUUAUUUUUGAACUUUACAUACGUGGAUUCAUACAGUAUUGGAUCUUUUGUGUCUGCUUCCUUUGCUUAAUUUGUUUUUAUGUUUGUUUGUUUGUUUGUUUUGA